rnacentral:rRNA from 1 species
UUAGCAUGGAAUAAUGAAAUAGGACGCGUGGUUCUAUUUUGUUGGUUUCUAGGACCGCCGUAAUGAUUAAUAGGGACAGUCGGAGGCAUCAGUAUUCAAUUGUCAGAGGUGAAAUUCUUGGAUUUAUUGAAGACUAACUACUGCGAAAGCAUUUGCCAAGGAUGUUUUCAUUAAUCAGGAACGAAAGUUAGGGGAUCGAAGACGAUCAGAUACCGUCGUAGUCUUAACCAUAAACUAUGCCGACUAGGGAUCGGACGAUGUUAUUUUUUGACGCGUUCGGCACCUUACGAGAAAUCAAAGUGCUUGGGCUCCAGGGGGAGUAUGGUCGCAAGGCUGAAACUUGAAGAAAUUGACGGAAGGGCACCACCAGGGGUGGAGCCUGCGGCUUAAUUUGACUCAACACGGGGAAACUCACCAGGUCCAGACACAAUGAGGAUUGACAGAUUGAGAGCUCUUUCUUGAUUUUGUGGGUGGUGGUGCAUGGCCGUUCUUAGUUGGUGGAGUGAUUUGUCUGCUUAAUUGCGAUAACGAACGAGACCUUAACCUGCUAAAUAGCCCGUAUUGCUUUGGCAGUACGCUGGCUUCUUAGAGGGACUAUCGACUCAAGCCGAUGGAAGUUUGAGGCAAUAACAGGUCUGUGAUGCCCUUAGAUGUUCUGGGCCGCACGCGCGCUACACUGACGGAGCCAGCGAGUACUUCCUUGGCCGAAAGGCCCGGGUAAUCUUGUUAAACUCCGUCGUGCUGGGGAUAGAGCAUUGCAAU